rnacentral:snRNA from 1 species
AGCUUUAUGCAGUGGAAGUAUUGUAGCCAAAGAGGUUUAUCCAAGGCACAAUUAUUGCUAAUGAUUUAAUAAUGAUUUAUGUUUCUCCUUUGAAAAAUCACAACGUAAAUAAAUUAGAGGGCGCUAUAAUAC